rnacentral:lncRNA from 1 species
CCAGUAAACAAUCUCUAUUGAAACAUUUAGACAGAAGUAAGGGGAGAGAGAGUUCUUGAGAGCAUUCAGAAGUGAAGGGAGAGCACGGAGUAAUGAAUAUUACAUAAUAUUCAUUGCUUGCGCCUAAAAUACUUAAGAGAGAUUCCCUUCUACUCCACACUCAAGGACGAGCAUAAUGCUUAAACCAACAAUAAUAGCGAGAUAAGCACGAAACUGAAACACUUAAAGGGAACGGAAGCAAGGAAAAAUUUAUGCAAGUUUUGAGAAAAGGAAGAAGUAUAAGAAAAUGUACUCUAUGCAAACUUCGUUUCUAACUUUAAUAUUCA